UACGUAGGGUGCAAGCGUUGUCCGGAAUUAUUGGGCGUAAAGGGCUCGUAGGCGGUCCAUCGCGUCGGGAGUGAAAAGCUGGGGCUUAACCCCAGUCCUGCUUCCGAUACGGGUGGACUAGAGGUAUGCAGGGGAGAACGGAAUUCCUGGUGUAGCGGUGAAAUGCGUAGAUAUCUGGAGGAACACCGGUGGCGAAGGCGGCAUCCUGGACCGGCAUUGACGCUGAGGAGCGAAAGCCAGGGGAGCAAACGGG
rnacentral:rRNA from 1 species